AACGAACGCUGGCGGCAGGCCUAACACAUGCAAGUCGAGCGCGCCCUUCGGGGUGAGCGGCGGACGGGUGAGUAACGCGUGGGAACGUGCCCUUUUCUACGGAAUAGCCUCGGGAAACUGAGAGUAAUACCGUAUACGCCCUUUGGGGAAAGAUUUAUCGGAAAAGGAUCGGCCCGCGUUGGAUUAGGUAGUUGGUGGGGUAAUGGCCUACCAAGCCGACGAUCCAUAGCUGGUUUGAGAGGAUGAUCAGCCACACUGGGACUGAGACACGGCCCAGACUCCUACGGGAGGCAGCAGUGGGGAAUCUUAGACAAUGGGGGCAACCCUGAUCUAGCCAUGCCGCGUGAGUGAUGAAGGCCUUAGGGUUGUAAAGCUCUUUCAGCUGGGAAGAUAAUGACGGUACCAGCAGAAGAAGCCCCGGCUAACUCCGUG
rnacentral:rRNA from 1 species